rnacentral:rRNA from 1 species
GCAAGUCGAACGGUAACGCGGAGAGCUUGCUCUUUGCCGACGAGUGGCGGACGGGUGAGUAACGCGUAGGAAUCUGCCCAUUAGUGGGGGACAACCCGGAGAAAUCCGGGCUAAUACCGCAUACGCUCUACGGGGGAAAGGUGGGGAUCCCUUCGGAGAACUUCCGCUAUUGGAUGAGCCUGCGUCGGAUUAGCUUGUUGGUGGGGUAACGGCCUACCAAGGCGACGAUCCGUAGCUGGUCUGAGAGGACGAUC